GUCAUUAUUUCCCCUCCGACUGGGCCGGUGCCAUCGGAAACCGGAGUGACCAGAGGAGGGACACGGAAUCUCUGGAGACAGGUAAAAAUAGAAGCAAGAAAAACUGAUAGCCCUCAGAUUUCAUAAUUUGCAUCCAAUUUCACUGGGCUGCAAGAUAUCAAUAAGCCUUGCCUCUUUAAACUACUUAUGUACAAAUAAAAGUGAUGGUGAGAACCUGGCUCAGGAAAUGCAGUAGCAGGCCAUAUUGCAUCCAAAGGAAUUACUCACAGCUGUGCUGUGUGCAUUCUCUGUGGGCCUAGCAGGGAAGGGGACAGCCCUGUGGCAAUGGGCAUGACACGGAUGCUCCUGGAAUGCAGUCUCAGUGACAAGUUGUGUGUCAUCCAGGAGAAGCAGUAUGAAGUGAUUAUCGUCCCAACUUUGUUGGUUACUAUCUUCCUCAUCCUUCUUGGGGUCAUCCUGUGGCUUUUUAUCAGAGAACAAAGAACUCAACAGCAGCGUUCUGGACCUCAAGGUAAAGCUC
rnacentral:lncRNA from 1 species